rnacentral:rRNA from 1 species
ACGCAUCACUGGUGUUCGGGUUGUCAUGCCAAUGGCACUGCCCGGUAGCUAAAUGCGGAAGAGAUAAGUGCUGAAAGCAUCUAAGCACGAAACUUGCCCCGAGAUGAGUUCUCCCUGACUCUUUAAGGGUCCUGAAGGAACGUUGAAGACGACGACGUUGAUAGGCCGGGUGUGUAAGCGCAGCGAUGCGUUGAGCUAACCGGUACUAAUGAACCGUGAGGCUUAACCUUACAACGCCGAAG